GUUUGAUCCUGAGACCAGAUUGAACGCUGGCGGGAUGCUUUACAUGCAAGUCGAACGGCAGCACGGACUUCGGUCUGGUGGCGAGUGGCGAACGGGUGAGUAAUGUAUCGGAACGUGCCUAAUGUGGGGGAUAACUACGUGAAAGCGUAGCUAAUGCCGCAUACGCCCUUCAGGGGAAAGCAGGGGACAGCCGGGCCUCUCGCACUAUUAGAGCGGCCGAUAUCCGGAUUAGCUAGUUGGUGGGGUAACGGCUCACCAAGGCGACGAUCCGCCGGCUGGUUUGAGAGGACGACCAACCACACUGGGACUGAGACACGGCCCAGACUCCUACGGGGAACGGCAGUGGGGGAAUUUUGGACAAUGAAACCUGAUCCAGCCAUCCCGCGUGUGCGAUGAAGGCCUUCGGGUUAUCAAAGCACUUUUGGCAGGAAAGAAACGGCGGAUAUGCCCGUGCAGCCCCGAACUGACUCCCACCAUACAGAAUAAGCACCGGCCUAACCACGACACUGGCAAGCCGCCCGGUAAUACGUAGGGUACAGAUAAUCGAUGCACAAGAUAAAGCGUGCGCAGUGGGGAUUCGGAAAAGAAAGAUGUAAAAAUCCCAGGCUUAACUUUGGAACUGCAUUUUUAACUACCGAGCUAGAGUGUAUCAGGAGGAGGUGGAAUUCCGCGUGUAGCGAUGAAAUGCGCUGGGCUAUGCGGGAAGAACACCGAUGGCGAAGGCAACCUCCUGGAUAACGCGGCGCUCAUGCGAAAGCGUGAGGGGAGCAAACAGGAUUAGAUACCCUGGUAGUCCACUUCAACGAUAUCAAUAAAGCUGUUGGGGCCUUCGGGCCUUGGUAGCGCAGCUAACGCGUGAGUUGACCGCCUGGGGAGAGUACGGUCGCAAGAUUAAAACUCCGAAAAGGAAUUGACGGGGACCCACUGGCUUGGUGGAUGAUGUGGAUUAUUUCGUUACUGACACUUGAAAACCUUACACCUACCUUGACAUGUCUGGAAUCCCGAAGAGAUUUGGGAGUGCUCGCAAGAGAACGGAACACAGGGUGUAUGGCUGUCGUCAGCUCGUGUGUGAGAUGUUGGGUUCGCGAGUCACAACGAGCGCAGCCCUUGUCAUUAGUUGCUACGAAGGCACUCUAAUGGGACUGCGGUGACAAACCGGAGGAAGGUGGGGAUGACGUCAGUCUCAUGGCCCUUAUGGGUAAGACUACCGUCAUACAAUGAGGUCGGGACAGAGGUGCGCUAACCUGGGAGACAAUCCCGAAACCCGAUCGUAGUCCGGAUCAUGAUCUGCAACUCGACUGCGUGAAGUCGGAAUCGCUGGCGUAAUCGCGGAUCCAGCAUGUCGCGGUGAAUACGUUCCGGGUCUUACCUUUGCCGGCUCUGUAAGGUGGUUUACCAGAAGUAGUUAGCCUAACCGUAAGGAGGGCAGUUACCACGGUAGUUCGCUGACCAAACGGUCAGAGGUACGUAACUGGGUAACUCUGUUUACUACGGUAUGAACAAUACGUAGCA
rnacentral:rRNA from 1 species